CUAGAUCGAGCUAGAUUUUUCAACAUUAAUGUUUCCUUUCCCCUGAUUUUCAUUCAUGAAAUUGAAGAUCCUCUUUGGGUGCUUUCUGCUCACUUACACAUUCAAUAAGCAGCCAUGAAUAUGAUCAUUCUACAUCUUCGAAUUGCAAACUCGGGAAUCACGCGAUUCUCCAGCAUCUCCGUCGGUGUUCGAUGUGACAUCCCGUCUGCUCGACGAGACGGGCUCAGCAAAAUCUAGUAUACUAGGAGGUGUUCCUCUCUCUGGGGUGACUCGGGUGGGCUUAUGUAGCGGUAGGCUCAAAGAACUCCGUCGUUCUGGUGACUCGUUGGCGAAAGGUUGGCGUAUGCUGUUUGAGGACGGCGGCGACCCAACCGGAAUCACAUGUCAGUCAUCGGGGUUGGGGUAGAGCUCCGAGGUAAGGGUUUGUUUUGCGGUGUCAGUGGAUCUCACAACUGGGAUGGCGGUUCCCCUUUUUCUUGAAUCUCGUCGGCUCGUCUUUCUUUCUUUUCUCGUCGGCGAGAGUGGAUGAGCACAGAACUUCUUAGACCUGCGAGGUGAUGAAGCGGUUGCAGAAAGUGGCAGUCAGGGUUUCGGAGUCAUUCUUCAUCCGAAGGCGAGACGCUCCGUGGGUGGCUCUGUUGAUGGUGACUGACGGUGGAUCUGGCGGGACUCGACACCCCUGUCGUGAGAAGUCGCCGGAAUCUAGAUCUGGUGGUUGUGGUGUCAACGGAGGAGGAAGCAUACUCCCUCAGUCUUCCCCUCAACCUAAAUUCCUUCUUUUUGUAAUAUGUGUAUUUUCCUAGAUUUAAUCACUCGUAACCUAGGGUUCGCGUUUCUCCAGUGUACCGGAAUAAGCCGUAGUCCCUGAUGCCCUUCGGGAAUGGAAAGAAUAUUUAUGUUUAACUAUUUUCUAAAAAAAAUCAAAAAAUAA